AAGAAUUCGCGGUAAACAGGGAAACGGUCCUCAUAUGUGAGAGAUGGAAAUGUACUUUUUAGUGAAUAAAG
rnacentral:pre_miRNA from 9 species